GACGAACGCUGGCGGCGUGCCUAAUACAUGCAAGUAGAACGCACAGUAUAUACCGUAGCUUGCUACACCAUAGACUGUGAGUUGCGAACGGGUGAGUAACGCGUAGGUAACCUGCCUGGUAGCGGGGGAUAACUAUUGGAAACGAUAGCUAAUACCGCAUAAUAUUAAUUAUUGCAUGAUAAUUGAUUGAAAGAUGCAACUGCAUCACUACCAGAUGGACCUGCGUUGUAUUAGCUAGUAGGUGAGGUAACGGCUCACCUAGGCGACGAUACAUAGCCGACCUGAGAGGGUGAUCGGCCACACUGGGACUGAGACACGGCCCAGACUCCUACGGGAGGCAGCAGUAGGGAAUCUUCCGGCAAAUGGACGGAAAGUUCUGGACCGAGCAAACGCCGCGUGAAGUGAAGAAAGGUUUUCGG
rnacentral:rRNA from 1 species